rnacentral:rRNA from 1 species
UAUGCGAUACUUGGUGUGAAUUGCAGAAUUCAGUGAAUCAUCGAAUCUUUGAACGCACAUUGCGCCCGCCAGUAUUCUGGCGGGCAUGCCUGUCCGAGCGUCAUUUCAACCCUCGAACCCCUCCGGGGGGUCGGCGUUGGGGAUCGGCCCUCCCUUAGCGGGUGGCCGUCUCCUAAAUACAGUGGCGGUCUCGCCGCAGCCUCUCCUGCGCAGUAGUUUGCACACUCGCAUCGGGAGCGCGGCGCGUCCACAGCCGUUAAACACCCAACUUCUGAAAUGUUGACCUCGGAUCAGGUAGGAAUACCCGCUGAACUUAAGCAUAUCAAUAAGCGGAGGAA